rnacentral:rRNA from 1 species
UGGGGAAUUUUGGACAAUGGGCGAAAGCCUGAUCCAGCAAUGCCGCGUGUGUGAAGAAGGCCUUCGGGUUGUAAAGCACUUUUGUCCGGAAAGAAAUCCUUGGCUCUAAUACAGUCGGGGGAUGACGGUACCGGAGGAAUAAGCACCGGCUAACUACGUGCCAGCAGCCGCGGUAAUACGUAGGGUGCAAGCGUUAAUCGGAAUUACUGGGCGUAAAGCGUGCGCAGGCGGUUUGCUAAGACCGAUGUGAAAUCCCCGGGCUCAACCUGGGAACUGCAUUGGUGACUGGCAGGCUAGAGUAUGGCAGAGGGGGGUAGAAUUCCACGUGUAGCAGUGAAAUGCGUAGAGAUGUGGAGGAAUACCGAUGGCGAAGGCAGCCCCCUGGGCCAAUACUGACGCUCAUGCACGAAAGCGUGGGGAGCAAACAGGAUUAGAUACCCUGGUAGUCCACGCCCUAAACGAUGUCAACUAGUUGUUGGGGAUUCAUUCCUUAGUAACGUAGCUAACGCGUGAAGUUGACCGCCUGGGGAGUACGGUCGCAAGAUUAAAACUCAAUGAAUUGACGGGGUCAUAGCUGUUUCCU